rnacentral:rRNA from 1 species
UACAGGGGGUGCAAACGUUGCUCGGAAUCAUUGGGCGUAAAGCGCACGUAGGCGGCUUUUCAAGUCGGAUGUGAAAUCCCUCGGCUUAACCAAGGAAGUGCAUCCGAAACUGGAAGGCUUGAGUACUUAAGAGGAUCGCGGAAUUCCCGGUGUAGAGGUGAAAUUCGUAGAUAUCGGGAGGAACACCAGUGGCGAAGGCGGCGAUCUGGGAAGAUACUGACGCUGAGGUGCGAAAGCGUGGGGAGCAAACAGG